GACAGAGGGUGCAAACGUUGUUCGGAAUUACUGGGCGUAAAGCGUGUGUAGGCGGCUACAUAAGUCGGAUGUGAAAGCCCCGGGCUCAACCCGGGAAGUGCACUCGAUACUGCGUAGCUUGAGUCUCGGAGAGGUUGGUGGAAUUCUCGGUGUAGAGGUGAAAUUCGUAGAUAUCGUGGAGAACACCCGUGGCGAAGGCGGGCUUCUGGCUAAUUACUGACGCUGAGGUGCGAAAGCUAGGGGAGCGAACGGG
rnacentral:rRNA from 1 species